rnacentral:rRNA from 1 species
UUGAAAGGGAAACGAUUGAAGUCAGUCGUACCGACGGAAAAUCAGCUCUUCGAGUGCGGACUUGUGGGCGUACGUGAGCUUUAACCGGCCUCGUCGUUUGCUACGUUUGUGCUUUUUGGGUGUACUUUUUCGUAUGGUAGGCCAACGUCAGUUUCGAUCACCAUAAAAUGAUCGGAGGAAUGUAGCUUCGAUCUUGUAUUGAAGUGUUAUAGCCUUUGGUAGAUGUGGUGACUGAGACUGAGGGUUGCAACGAAUACCCUUUGGGCUAUCCGUCUGACCUCUGAAAGUUGCUUAGGUGCCGAAAGCUUGCUUACGGUCAUCUAUGACGACGGUCAAAAGGUUAGAACGUGAUUAUAUUCGUUAAGGAUGUUGACGUA